GUCAGAAACAAUGCCGUCAACCACCGAAAAAUCUCAUCGGAGAGAAGCCCAACCACCGGAAAUUGCAGGUCGACACGGUCAAUUUCCAAGCAAAGGCUUGAAAAAUGGGAAACCCAAGGAAACAGAGAAGCAACCCCGCAGCGAACUGAGCAAAGCUUGAAUCCAUCACAGAUUUCGAAAAGGAGGAGUAGAUCUGAAACAGAUCCUGGCCGGUCGAAGCAGUGUAACGCAAAUGAAAACGUUGGAUCUCCAUCGAAGCUCAAGCUGUCGACUAGCGAAGAGAAUCGAACGGAGGAGCGUCGUCCAUACCACGAGGUGGCCGUCACACGCGGCCGAAACUACUCUCUUUCACCGCGAGCUUCAUGGCACUUUAGAGUCUCGUCGAAUCACAUAAGAGCCAGAACCUGAGCUGAAAAAAGGCCCUCUCACGACGCCGGUCAAAGCCGGCCACCGGAGAGGACAACAAGACAACGGCGAGAGAAGAACUUUAGGUUUUAGGAUUGGAGAGAAAUCGCCGCGCGUGUCGUCACGCGCCCGACUUCGUGAUGUACUUUUUAAGCCAGAAUAUAAUGCCUAUGAAGAUUCAAGAGAUGGACAAGAUAAGACAUGAUCUAGAGAAUAUUAUGCCUAUGAAGAUUCAAGAGAUGAUAAAAGAUCAAUGGAAGCUCACUGGUACAUGUAAUCAAUGUCAAGAAGUAAGAAAAUAGGCAGUAAAAUGGGUGCAUAAAGAAUAUGAAGAUCUUUGUCCAA
rnacentral:lncRNA from 1 species